UCAUGUUAAGCUUCAUGCACUAGCCAAGGCAACCAAAAGUCCGAACUGAUGAAAAGGGCUAGGCAAUCCACAUAUAGUGUAACAGCUAAAUCUUUUCUUUCGUUUUGCUAUACCCAGUUUUUUGCAAGUCAGAAUAGCAAUGCCUUUAAGGUCAUAAAACAAGAUGCUCUAAGGUCAUAAAACAAGAUCCGAUGCUGAUCCUGCAGAAACUUCCAUGUCUUGUGGUAUUGGAGUUGACUGGGUACACAUGCCAAACAAUGUACUGCUCUGCCCAAGGGUUUCCUCAAAUGCAAGAGUUAAAACUUAAUUUUUCCACGAAGGAGUGGAGGAUGGAGGAAGGGACAAUGCCAAAGCUCUGCCACCUAGAACUCUUUAUGUGCAUGGAGAUGAAAAAGCUCCCAAAGGGUUGCUGCACUUUUCAUCCCUCGGUCACCUGAAGGUCAGCUAUAUGCCCCAGAUUUCUGAAGAUGACAUCACACGGAAGGAGCUACGGCAGAAAGGAUGCGGGGUGGAAACUAGGGGGUGAUUGCAGAUCUGUGGGGUGCGAGGAAUUCAACUUCAUUCUCGUCUAAAAUGAAGGACGCCAUGGGCGAUCAACACACCCCGCCCUCGUUGUCCCCUCCCGAUUCAUUCUCGAACUCAGCUCCCUCCUCCCCAUUCCCAAUCCCCAUAUCCCUUCUUCUCCCUCCCUUCAAGGACGCCAUUGGCGAUCAACAUGACAGGCUCGCUCCUCCUGCUUCUCCGUCUAGUCUCUAGAUCUGCCCUCCUGAUGCCAAUGUUGCCGCCACCUCGUCCUCAGAUGCCGUGUACAAGAUGGAGCUGAGGUGGUCUAGGAGAGGCCGCUGCCCAUUGCGGACCUUCAUCCCCGGUGCCAAGGUCGCUCCACCGCCGCUAAUCCUCCAAGAGGUCUGUUGCAUUUAUUUUCUUUCAUGCACAGAAGUGUCAGGUUCAUUUUCGGUGCAAAUUGUACAUACAGUCCAGAAACUGGAUCUUAUUCGGUGCAAAUUGUACAGAGCCAUGCAUCUCGUACUUGCUCAAAAUAAAUCCAUGUGCAUCGAUGAA